rnacentral:rRNA from 1 species
GUACACUCCUGCGGGAGGCAGCAGUGGGGAAUCUUGCGCAAUGGGCGAAAGCCUGACGCAGCCAUGCCGCGUGAAUGAUGAAGGUCUUAGGAUUGUAAAAUUCUUUCACCGGGGACGAUAAUGACGGUACCCGGAGAAGAAGCCCCGGCUAACUUCGUGCCAGCAGCCGCGGUAAUACGAAGGGGGCUAGCGUUGCUCGGAAUUACUGGGCGUAAAGGGAGCGUAGGCGGACAUUUAAGUCAGGGGUGAAAUCCCGGGGCUCAACCUCGGAAUUGCCUUUGAUACUGGGUGUCUUGAGUAUGAGAGAGGUGUGUGGAACUCCGAGUGUAGAGGUGAAAUUCGUAGAUAUUCGGAAGAACACCAGUGGCGAAGGCGACACACUGGCUCAUUACUGACGCUGAGGCUCGAAAGCGUGGGGAGCAAACAGGAUUAGAAACCCCGGUAGUCCCA